GAGCACUAAGAGCAGCAGCGCAUGGUUUGGAGCCUGCCUGGGUUGGACACGAAGCAGCAGGACCUGAAAAUAUCACGAGAAAUCCAGCCCAGGAACCAAGCAGGUUCAAGGAGCCGUGCAAAAGAAGGCAGUGAAGAAAGCAGCAUGAGGAACUUCACCGCCACCGACCUGCGAAGCACGGGGCAAACGCGAGAGCCCGGCCACUGCUGCCGUACUCACAGUUGUAGGAUUCACCCCGUCCCCGUCCCCGUCCCGUCCUGCUGGGCUGGGAGCAAAAGUUUUCCUCUGGCAGCAGCUGCCCCGGCCAUUCGGUGCUUUUACUUCCCAGCCCGGAGGUGGGGAUGGGUGUGCGGAGGUGGGGCUUGGGCUCCGUGUCAAAAGCCGGAGCACAUUUUAACCCAAACUUUUGCAAUCGUCUCUUUCGGUAGGAUUUUAUUUUUCUUUCGUCCCAUAGGCUGCAAUCUGAGCGAUUACAGAGCCGCCGAUGUGGUUUGCUGAUGCAGGGCUUUGCAGACUCUGUGCAUGGUCCCAGCACAAGCUGGCACCUCGGCCAUCGCUCUGGGCUGGGGAUGGAGCUGGCCCUGGCGCAGAGACACGAUGGCAAAUCCUCCGAGGAUUGGAGAUGCGUUGGUCCAGGGGAGCCCUGGUUUGGCAGCCCUGCUGCAGCUUUCGGCUUCUUGGAGCUUCAGAUGGGAUGAAGAAGGCAAAGCAAGGCUGCUGAGAGAUGCUGGGUCUGGGCUAUUAAUUUCGAAGGUGUCGUACUGCUUUGCUUGAUAACCCAUGGUCUCCAGAGAUGACGUUUUCAGGAUUAAAUGCCAUAAAACACCACGAGCUUCUGCUCUCAGUGGAUUGCACGCCUUAAUCCUGCACGCACUUUUUCAUGUUCACCUUACAGUCCUCAUAAAAGUCAUUUGCGU
rnacentral:lncRNA from 1 species